rnacentral:rRNA from 1 species
CUACGGGAGGCAGCAGUGGGGAAUCUUGCGCAAUGGGCGAAAGCCUGACGCAGCCAUGCCGCGUGAACGAUGAAGGCCUUAGGGUUGUAAAGUUCUUUUGCCCGUGACGAUGAUGACGGUAACGGGAGAAUAAGCUCCGGCUAACUUCGUGCCAGCAGCCGCGGUAAUACGAAGGGGGCUAGCGUUGUUCGGAAUUACUGGGCGUAAAGCGCGCGCAGGCGGUUUUGUAAGUUGGGGGUGAAAUCCCCGGGCUCAACCCGGGAAUGGCCUUCAAGACUGCAAGGCUCGAGGACGAGAGAGGUGAGUGGAAUUCCCAGUGUAGAGGUGAAAUUCGUAGAUAUUGGGAAGAACGCCGGUGGCGAAGGCGGCUCACUGGCUCGUUUCUGACGCUGAGGCGCGAAAGCGUGGGGAGCAAACAGGAUUAGAAACCCGUGUAGUCC